rnacentral:lncRNA from 1 species
GGGUACUCUACCUCCCCGAGAGGCUAUAGCCAACAGGCUUAGUACUAUCUAUUCUGGGGGUUAGGUCUCUAUAGCUAUGUCUCCCAGGUGUGUGGAGUUUUCACAACCCUGAGAGAUGUAGCUAUGCCAGUGUAUGUUCCUAUUGUAGACUAGCCCUUAGUAUGUAUGUAGUGCUAUACAAUCAUCAUUCACAGCACCCCCGUGAAGUACUACAGUACAGUACUCUGACUACAUCUUCACAGUUGGGCACCUAGAUCCAUAUUUAGGCACCUAAAGUAUUCAGUUUUUCAAAGCUGCUGAGCACCUACUACUCCUAGUUGCUUCAGCAUCUCAACCAGGGAGCAAACUGCAAUUUAAACAGCAUGUUUGAUUGCUAGGCUACCCAGGGGCAGCAUCUCCAAUUGUAAAGACUCCAUAUGGAGUAAACAAACUCUAGUUUAGGAUUAUAGAUCAGGCCUUGUGCCUUCAAUAUACCUGUAAAACAUUUAGUACAUUUUGAGUGUUCUAUAAGUGUCUGAACCUGACAAAGAGGACACUAAUUUUUGACUGGGUGCAGUUGGUCAAUUUCUCUCUUGGUAUGUGGGUGUGAUGUUUUAAUUUCAUCUGCGUUUUUUUCUACUCUUCCCAUCACACCUCCCCCUUUCUGUAUACAUUCCUUUCAUCACACCGUAAAGGACAUGCUGUAGUUCCAAGUGUAAAAGUUGCUAAAGUGCUUAUGCAAGUUAAUUACUGUGCCUGUUUAAUCCCACAUAGUGCAGAUUAGUGCUGUCACAUACUGUUCCAAGAGUAAUUCAUGUAGCAGGCAGAUGUGCUAUCAUUCAGUCCUUUUAAUUAGAGAAACCUCUGCGUUAAAGAGCAGCAGAGUUGCUUAGCUUGAAUCUAGAGGAUGCUGAAUGAUACCACUAACGGAAAUGUGUCAAAUUCAGCUACAAAUCAGUAUGUGGUGAACGAAUACAAAAGGCUUCUUGCACUGGGAACACUACGGAAGACAAAAAACGAAGUGGUCUGUAGCAGCUACAGUCAUUUCUGCAGUGAAGCUAUUUUCCCUUCCAUUGCCAUCGGACUGAGCACAAGAGAAAAGUCAGCAGAGCAAAUGAUUCAGCCAGCAUGUGGUUAUCUCUCCUAGAGAACCUUCUCAAAGGCUUUGAAAUCAGUCACUUGUACAGGAGAUGUGUUACUCAACUGCUGAAUAGCCCCAUUCAUUUGACUUAUUUACUAUGGAUAUUUUUAGCUUAAUUUCAUUUUGAAACUUGAUAUUCAAGUUGUCUAACUCAUGCUACUUAGGAAGUCGUGCAAAUACUCACUCAAAUUUCAAUGUAAAAUUUCAGCAGAUAAAUGAUGUUAUUUUAAUGCCACGCCUAUAUGAGAGUCCUUAGUAGUGAGUACCCAAUAAAGACAUAAUUCUGUUCUCUGUAGUAAUACA